AGUUUGAUCCUGGCUCAGGAUGAACGCUAGCUACAGGCUUAACACAUGCAAGUCGAGGGGCAGCAUCAUCAAAGCUUGCUUUGAUGGAUGGCGACCGGCGCACGGGUGAGUAACACGUAUCCAACCUGCCGACAACUCUGGGAUAGCCUUUCGAAAGAAAGAUUAAUACCGGAUGGUAUAAUUAUUCCGCAUGGGAUUAUUAUUAAAGAAUUUCGGUUGUCGAUGGGGAUGCGUUCCAUUAGGCAGUUGGCGGGGUAACGGCCCACCAAACCUACGAUGGAUAGGGGUUCUGAGAGGAAGGUCCCCCACAUUGGAACUGAGACACGGUCCAAACUCCUACGGGAGGCAGCAGUGAGGAAUAUUGGUCAAUGGACGAGAGUCUGAACCAGCCAAGUAGCGUGAAGGAUGACUGCCCUAUGGGUUGUAAACUUCUUUUAUACGGGAAUAAAGUGAGCCACGUGUGGCUUUUUGUAUGUACCGUAUGAAUAAGGAUCGGCUAACUCCGUGCCAGCAGCCGCGGUAAUACGGAGGAUCCGAGCGUUAUCCGGAUUUAUUGGGUUUAAAGGGAGCGUAGGCGGGUUGUUAAGUCAGUUGUGAAAGUUUGCGGCUCAACCGUAAAAUUGCAGUUGAUACUGGCGACCUUGAGUGCAACAGAGGUAGGCGGAAUUCGUGGUGUAGCGGUGAAAUGCUUAGAUAUCACGAAGAACUCCGAUUGCGAAGGCAGCUUACUGGAUUGUAACUGACGCUGAUGCUCGAAAGUGUGGGUAUCAAACAGGAUUAGAUACCCUGGUAGUCCACACAGUAAACGAUGAAUACUCGCUGUUGGCGAUAUACAGUCAGCGGCCAAGCGAAAGCAUUAAGUAUUCCACCUGGGGAGUACGCCGGCAACGGUGAAACUCAAAGGAAUUGACGGGGGCCCGCACAAGCGGAGGAACAUGUGGUUUAAUUCGAUGAUACGCGAGGAACCUUACCCGGGCUUAAAUUGCAACUGACGGAAUCGGAAACGGUUCUUUCUUCGGACAGUUGUGAAGGUGCUGCAUGGUUGUCGUCAGCUCGUGCCGUGAGGUGUCGGCUUAAGUGCCAUAACGAGCGCAACCCUUACGGGUAGUUACCAUCAGGUUAUGCUGGGGACUCUACCCGGACUGCCGUCGUAAGAUGUGAGGAAGGUGG
rnacentral:rRNA from 1 species